AAGUCGUAACAAGGUUUCCGUAGGUGAACCUGCGGAAGGAUCAUUAUCCAUCUAAAACCAGGUGCGGUCGCGGCCUCCGGGUGAAAGCCUGGGUGGUUUCGCGCCGCAUUCCUGCACCCUUUUUUUACGAGCACCUUUGUUCUCCUUCGGCGGGGCAACCUGCCGCUGGAACUUAAUAAAACCUUUUUUUGCAUCUAGCAUUACCUGUUCUGAUACAAAUAAUCGUUACAACUUUCAACAAUGGAUCUCUUGGCUCUG
rnacentral:misc_RNA from 1 species